ACUGAGUAUUCACUGGAAGUACUGUAAUAUACCCAGACACAAACACACCCUACAUGUACAACUGAGUAUUCACUGGAAGUACUGUAAUAUACCCAGACAAACACACCCUACAUGUACAACUGAGUAUUCACUGGAAGUACUGUAAUAUACCCAGACAAACACACCCUACAUGUACAACUGAGUAUUCACUGGAAGUACUGUAAUAUACCCAGACAAACACACCCUACAUGUACAACUGAGUAUUCUCUGGAAGUACUGUAAUAUACCCAGACAAACACACCCUACAUGUACAACUGAGUAUUCACUGGAAGUACUGUAAUAUACCCAGACAAACACACCCUACAUGUACAACUGAGUAUUCACUGGAAGUACUGUAAUAUACCCAGACAAACACACCCUACAUGUACAACUGAGUAUUCUCUGGAAGUACUGUAAUAUACCCAGACAAACACACCCUACAUGUACAACUGAGUAUUCUCUGGAAGUACUGUAA
rnacentral:lncRNA from 13 species